rnacentral:rRNA from 1 species
AUCCGGGUUGCGGACAGUGUCUGGUGGGUAGUUUGACUGGGGCGGUCUCCUCCUAAAGAGUAACGGAGGAGCACGAAGGUUGGCUAAUCCUGGUCGGACAUCAGGAGGUUAGUGCAAUGGCAUAAGCCAGCUUGACUGCGAGCGUGACGGCGCGAGCAGGUGCGAAAGCAGGUCAUAGUGAUCCGGUGGUUCUGAAUGGAAGGGCCAUCGCUCAACGGAUAAAAGGUACUCCGGGGAUAACAGGCUGAUACCGCCCAAGAGUUCAUAUCGACGGCGGUGUUUGGCACCUCGAUGUCGGCUCAUCACAUCCUGGGGCUGAAGUAGGUCCCAAGGGUAUGGCUGUUCGCCAUUUAAAGUGGUACGCGAGCUGGGUUUAGAACGUCGUGAGACAGUUCGGUCCCUAUCUGCCGUGGGCGCUGGAGAACUGAGGGGGGCUGCUCCUAGUACGAGAGGACCGGAGUGGACGCAUCACUGGUGUUCGGGUUGUCAUGCCAAUGGCACUGCCCGGUAGCUAAAUGCGGAAGAGAUAAGUGCUGAAAGCAUCUAAGCACGAAACUUGCCCCGAGA